CCCCGUGUCAAACACUUCUGUGAAGUCUCCUGUGUGCAGAAGUCUACGGGGACAUGGACGCACUAACUUCAUUUUCCUUCCUGGUUUGGACGCAUUUGGACAUUAAGAUUUCCCAUUGAUGGAACUAUGGGCGCUUUCCAGUCCAAACAUGCUUCAAAACGCAGACAGAGUCCGGAAGGUGACAGUUUGGUUUCCGGUGUGCUGAGCCGUCAGAGAGAGAUGGAGCGCUGCAACAAAACAAAGCUGACAGAGGUAAAGAAGCUGGCUUUGUUUUGCUUCCCCAUACAUAUAGCAAUUACCUAGUAUAUAGUAAAUAUUAAUGAGGUCUUACUUUUCCCAGCAAAAACUGCAAAAGUGUGAAGUUGUGCAAAGGUGUAAAACAAAUGGACUAAAUUAUAACAUCACAACACUUCUUUUUUUUUCAAUUUAUAUUGAACCAAAAGGUCUACUCUAGUAUGGCAGCUUUUAAAAACCCAGUCAUGAUCAGCCUCUUCAUGCUGGUCUAAGUCAGGGGACAAACAGUAUUCGCUCACAUCACAUCAAGGAGACAUAAAAGAUGUUUGGACAUUGGCCGUUUAUUUAUUCUUCCACCCUUCCUGCUCCAUCCCUAUAAAGAGAGCUCCAAGUCUGUGAAGUGCAUUGCACACACUCACACACACAUACACACCC
ensembl:lncRNA